rnacentral:tRNA from 1 species
AAAAAUUGGAGCUAAAAAUUAAGGUUUUGAAAACCUGAACAAGACGAGGGUCUUAGCUCUUU